rnacentral:rRNA from 1 species
CCUACGGGGGGCAGCAGUGAGGAAUAUUGGUCAAUGGGCGCGAGCCUGAACCAGCCAAGUAGCGUGAAGGAUGACGGCCCUACGGGUUGUAAACUUCUUUUAUAAAGGAAUAAAGUGAGGCACGUGUGCCUUUUUGUAUGUACUUUAUGAAUAAGGAUCGGCUAACUCCGUGCCAGCAGCCGCGGUAAUACGGAGGAUCCGAGCGUUAUCCGGAUUUAUUGGGUUUAAAAGGAGCGUAGAUGGGUUGUUAAGUCAGUUGUGAAAGUUUGCGGCUCAACCGUAAAAUUGCAAUUGAUACUGGUAGGCUUGAGUACAGUUGAGGUAGGCGGAAUUCGUGGUGUAGCGGUGAAAUGCUUAGAGAUCACGAAGAACACCGAUUGCGAAGGCAGCUUACUAAGCUGCCACUGACAUUGAUGCUCGAAAGUGUGGGUAGCAAACAGGAUUAGAUACCCGAGUAGUC